rnacentral:tRNA from 1 species
GGGGUUGCGGUAACGUUGGAGAGUUACGUCAGACUGUAAAUCUGAUGCUUCGGCUUAAUAGGUUCGAAUCCUAUCUGCCCCACCA